GUUACACUAGGUUCCAGUUUCUUUAGAAAAUGUGUAGCUCCGUGCAGCUCAUUCGGUUCAAAAUGGCUACUCGCCCCUAAGAGCGAUUCAAAUCUUGCAAACUUAUCGUUCGAUCUGUCUCUACGAGUGGCUGAAAAAUCACGAAGAAUAUCGCCGUGAAAGCUUUAAAUCAUAUUUCAAAUGAAUUAAAGUCAACAAAUGUCCCUUCUAGUGCGAUAGAAUGACAUAAUUUAGAUGAGUUUGAUGAAGGUGAAGGUCACUGUGAUGAAGAGUCUACUUAUACAACGAACUAUCAGAACAGACGGGAAAAGGAAUUUCAAGGCUGGCAUACCAUACGAGAGUCUUUGUUAAACUGAAGAAUUGAAGAAGAAGUUUUUCUUAACGAAGAAAAAUGCUCUGAAUGUGGUGUGAUUGGGGUAGAAUUUCGUUGUAACGAAUGCGCACACGAAAAAUAUUUUUGCAAUUGUUAUGCUGACAGCACUCACGAAACAAGCAACUACUUCCAUGUGCUUGAACGGUUUAAGGAUGCGCAUGCAUUACCUUACUUUCCCAAUCUUGGUAUUCUUGCAGCAUGGCAUCAGAAAUCUUGCCAUAGUGCUCAAGCAAGAAAUGUCAUUUGCAUUGACCAAUAUGCCUGAUGAAGCUGGUACUCUGAUUGAAUCAAUGGAUCCAUGUUUUGGUUUAGUGAGAAAAAACAUCAGGGAAGGCUCAGUUCUUGUCAAGGCAUAAUUCCAUUUUGUUGCACAAUGAAGAAGAAGUUGAUUCAUUUGUUGAUAACUACACUUCAAGUGCUGAACAAGCUAAAACUGAUUGUCAUGAGUUUAAGGCAGGUGAAGUAAGUGACAUGAUUCGAUCAAAAGGUACAAACUAUUCGAUGAGAAAGGUGUUUUUGUUUGUGUCUGCCAGCAUGAUUACCCAAAAGGAUUUAUGAAUAUCAAACAUGGAGAAAGAAAAAUGGAAAGCAUGAUUUUGUGAAGAGAGCCGAUUAUGCUAUUCUUGUCUUUCACUGCUAUGGUCAUAAGUCCUCGUGUCAGAUACAAUUUAACCCAAGAAGAAAAAAAGGACAUGGAUUAACUGAUGGGGAAGGAGUGGAAAGACUAUGGUCAUUUCUUCGGGGGUUUUCUGGCAUGACCAAGGAGAUGAGCUCUGGUCGCCGUCUUGAUAUUCUGACAGAUGCUUUACUGCACUAUUCUUCUCGUCGACUUGAACAGUUUGGUUGGUGUGUUUACUGAAAGUACACGUGUCAGGCUCAGGGAAAUAACUUCUUUUGUUGAUAGUUUAGUUGAUUUUGAGAAUAUUUGCAAUACGUGUAUUUGGUAGACCAAAAUUUUAUCUUGAUGGGAUUUUUUGGCCAACAAGUAGGUGAUUGAACGCUGGAAUUGACAUACAUAGGACGAUCGCUUCAAAAAGUAUCAACACCGUACAAUAUUAUAGACUUUUAGAAGGAAAUAGCGUCCCAAAAGUUGUACUGUGUAAACGUUUUUGACAGUCGAAACGUCAGUCAACAACAACAAAAACAGUCCUUCUCAGGACUAUACAAACCUAGACGAUCGACAUUUACAAACAUGUAACGAUACUCCCGUGUUCAAAUCAUUUACUUUGUUGUUUUGGCUUGAUAAAUAAUGUUUUAUUGAAUAGAAUGUGCUCAAAUCGUUAAUAUAUUUGUCUAGAUAUGCUUAAA